rnacentral:misc_RNA from 1 species
GAUGAAGAACGUAGCGAAAUGCGAUAACUAAUGUGAAUUGCAGAAUUCAGUGAAUCAUCGAGUCUUUGAACGCACAUUGCGCCCCCUGGUAUUCCGGGGGGCAUGCCUGUCCGAGCGUCAUUGCUGCCCUCAAGCACGGCUUGUGUGUUGGGCUCCGUCCCCCCGGGGACGGGCCCGAAAGGCAGCGGCGGCACCGAGUCCGGUCCUCGAGCGUAUGGGGCUUUGUCACCCGCUCUGUAGGCCCGGCCGGCGCCAGCCGACAACCCAUCAUCCUUUUCAGGUUGACCUCGGAUCAGGUAGGGAUACCCGCUGAACUUAAGCAUAUCAAUAGCGGAGG